rnacentral:rRNA from 1 species
GUGAGGAAUUUUCCGCAAUGGGCGAAAGCCUGACGGAGCAAUGCCGCGUGAAGGAUGAAGGCCUAUGGGUUGUAAACUUCUUUUCUCAGAAAAGAAUUAUGACGGUAUCUGAGGAAUAAGCAUCGGCUAACUCUGUGCCAGCAGCCGCGGUAAGACAGAGGAUGCAAGCGUUAUCCGGAAUGAUUGGGCGUAAAGCGUCUGUAGGUUGUUUAAAAAGUAUUCUGUCAAAGAUUAGGGCUUAACCCUAGAUAGGCAGAAUAAACUUUUAAGCUAGAGUUUGGUAGAGGCAGAGGGAAUUCCCGGUGGAGCGGUGAAAUGCGUAGAUAUCGGGAGGAACACCAAAGGCGAAGGCACUCUGCUGGGCCAAUACUAACACUGAGAGACGAAAGCGAGGGGAGCAAAUGGGAUUAGAACCCCGGUAGUCC